GGAUUCCCCUAGUAACUGCGAGUGAAGCGGGAAAAGCUCAAAUUUAAAAUCUGGUGGUCUUUGGCCAUCCGAGUUGUAAUUUAGAGAAGCAACUUCCGCGCUUGGACCAUGCACAAGUCUCCUGGAAUGGAGCGUCAUAGAGGGUGAGAAUCCCGUCUUUGGCAUGGAUGCACCAGGGCUUUUGUGAUGUGCUCUCGAAGAGUCGAGUUGUUUGGGAAUGCAGCUCAAAAUGGGUGGUGAACUCCAUCUAAAGCUAAAUAUUGGCGAGAGACCGAUAGCGAACAAGUACCGUGAGGGAAAGAUGAAAAGCACUUUGGAAAGAGAGUGAAACAGUACGUGAAAUUGUUGAAAGGGAAACGCUUGAAGUCAGUCGCGUCGGUCGAGACUCAGCCUUGCCUUGGCUUGGCGUACUUCUCGGCCGACGGGUCAGCAUCAAUUUUGCCCCUCGAAUAAUGGCAAGGGAAAUGUGACACCUUUUACAGGUGUGUUAUAGUCUUUUGUCGCAUGCGAGGGUCGGGAUUGAGGAACUCAGCACGCUCCUUUAGGUGUCGGGGCUUGGCCCACGAAACGUGCUUAGGAUGUUGGCGUAAUGGCUUUAAACGACCCGUCUUGAAACACGGACCAAGGAGUCUAACAUGCCCGCGAGUGUUUNGGGUGGAAAACCCAUGCGCGCAAUGNAAAGUGAAAGUUGGGACCUCCGUCGUGGAGGGCACCGACGCCCGGACCAGACCUUCUGUGACGGAUCUGCGGUAGAGCGUGUAUGUUAGGACCCGAAAGAUGGUGAACUAUGCCUGAAUAGGGUGAAGCCAGAGGAAACUCUGGUGGAGGCUCGUAGCGAUUCUGACGUGCAAAUCGAUCGUCAAAUUUGGGUAUAGGGGCGAAAGA
rnacentral:rRNA from 1 species